rnacentral:tRNA from 1 species
GUAAUUUAGUUUAAAAAGAAUAUUUAUUUUUGGUGUAAAAGGUUUUAAUUGCAG